GGGAGCCUGCGGAGGGAUCAUUACACAAAUAUGAAGGCGGGCUGGAACCUCUCGGGGUUACAGCCUUGCUGAAUUAUUCACCCUUGUCUUUUGCGUACUUCUUGUUUCCUUGGUGGGUUCGCCCACCACUAGGACAAACAUAAACCUUUUGUAAUUGCAAUCAGCGUCAGUAACAAAUUAAUAAUUACAACUUUCAACAACGGAUCUCUUGGUUCUGGCAUCGAUGAAGAACGCAGCGAAAUGCGAUAAGUAGUGUGAAUUGCAGAAUUCAGUGAAUCAUCGAAUCUUUGAACGCACAUUGCGCCCUUUGGUAUUCCAAAGGGCAUGCCUGUUCGAGCGUCAUUUGUACCCUCAAGCUUUGCUUGGUGUUGGGCGUCUUGUCUCUAGCUUUGCUGGAGACUCGCCUUAAAGUAAUUGGCAGCCGGCCUACUGGUUUCGGAGCGCAGCACAAGUCGCACUCUCUAUCAGCAAAGGUCUAGCAUCCAUUAAGCCUUUUUUUCAACUUUUGACCUCGGAUCAGGUAGGGAUACCCGCUGAACUUAAGCAUAUCAAUAAAGCGGAGGAA
rnacentral:rRNA from 1 species